GUGUGUUGAUUAUUGGUGAAGAUGAAGAGAAGCCGCGAAAUGAGUUGGGAUUCACAAGUAUCGACCCGCCUCCUGUAGAAGAAUCUUCUGAUGCUCAUUUUUCUAAUAUGGAGUUACCUUUUUACUUAGUUGGUGGUAUUUAUUUCCCCAAAACUAUGAAGCAACAAGGGUGGAUUGCUAGUACUUCUAUUACUAUUCUCAUUGACAGUUUCUUCUCAGUUACAAGUUGAACUAACUCCUUUUGGAAUAUGUUUGGGUGAUGGUCAUAGGGUGGAAUCAAAAGGUGUUUGUCGAAUUGUGAAAACCGAUUUGGGCAAAUUGGAAGUGCAAGCCAAUUGUUAUUUAUUUCCUCUAGGUGGUGUUGAUAUCAUUCUCAGCAUGGC
rnacentral:misc_RNA from 1 species